UACGAAGGGAGCUAGCGUUGUUCGGAAUCACUGGGCAUAAAGCGCACGUAGGCGGAUUUGCCAGUCAGGGGUGAAAUCCCGGGGCUCAACCUCGGAACUGCCUUUGAUACAGCAAGUCUUGAGUUCGAGAGAGGGAUGCGGAAUUCCAGGUGUAGCGGUGAAAUGCGUAGAUAUCUGGAGGAACACCGGUGGCGAAGGCGGCGUUCUGGACUGCAACUGACACUGAGAAACGAAAGCCAGGGUAGCAAACGGG
rnacentral:rRNA from 1 species